rnacentral:tRNA from 1 species
GCUGCAAUAGCUCAGUCGGUAGAGCGUCGCCUUGGUAAGGCGGAGGUCGCGGGUUCAAAUCCCGCUUGUAGCU